rnacentral:rRNA from 1 species
AUGACGCUGGCGGCAGGCUACACUGCAGUCUCAACGGUACAGGAUAGCUUGCUAUCGCUGACGAGUGGCGGACGGGUGAGUAAUACUUAGGGAUCUGCCUCUGUGUGGGGGAUAACUAUUGGAAACGAUAGCUAAUACCGCAUAAUGUCUACGGACCAAAGCGGGCUUCGGCUCGUGCGCAGAGAGGAACCUAAGCGAGAUUAGCUAGUUGGUGAGGUAAAGGCUCACCAAGGCGACGAUCUCUAGCUUGUUCUGAGAGGAAGAUCAGCCACACUGGAACUGAGACACGGUCCAGACUCCUACGAGGAGGCAGCAGUGGGGAAUAUUGCACAAUGGGGGAAUCCCUGAUGCAGCCAUGCCGCGUGUGUGAAGAAGGCCUUCGGGUUGUAAAGCACUUUCAGUUGUGAGGAAAGUUUAGUAGUUAAUACCUGCUACAUGUGACGUUAGCAACAGAACGAAGCACCGGCUAACUCCGUGCCAGCCAGCCGC